rnacentral:rRNA from 1 species
GGCGCGCUUACACAUGCAAGUCGAGCGAGAAAGGGAGCAAUCCUGAGUAAAGCGGCGUACGGGUGAGUAACACGUGGAUGAUCUACCUCUUAGUGGGGAAUACCCCUGGGAAACCGGGGACAAUACCGCAUAAGCCUGAGAAGGGAAAGCCGAAAGGCGCUGAGAGAGGAGUCCGCGGCCGAUUAGCUAGUUGGUAGGGUAAGAGCCUACCAAGGCGACGAUCGGUAGCCGGCCUGAGAGGGCACACGGCCACACUGGCACUGGGAUACGGGCCAGACUCCUACGGGAGGCAGCAGUGGGGAAUCUUGCACAAUGGAGGCAACUCUGAUGCAGCGACGCCGCGUGAGCGAUGAAGCCCUUCGGGGUGUAAAGCUCUUUCGACGGGGACGAUAAUGACGGUACCCGGAGAAGAAGCUGCGGCUAACUACGUGCCAGCAGCCGCGGUAAUACGUANGCAGCGAGCGUUGUUCGGAAUUACUG